UACGGGGGGAGCAAGCGUUGUUCGGAUUUACUGGGCGUAAAGGGCGCGUAGGCGGUCGUGACAAGUCACUUGUGAAAUCUCCGGGCUUAACUCGGAACGGUCAAGUGAUACUGUCGGACUAGAGUACAGAAGGGGCAACUGGAAUUCUCGGUGUAGCGGUGAAAUGCGUAGAGAUCGGGAGGAACAUCAGUGGCGAAGGCGGCCCUCUGGACGGAUACUGACGCUGAGACGCGAAAGCGUGGGUAGCAAACAGG
rnacentral:rRNA from 1 species